AGUGCGGAAGCUUGGGAUCUUCUGAGCGGGGAGAAAAUGGACGGUGGGGAACAGUAGACAAAGUUAGCUGUUCUACUCAAAGAAGUACCUUUAAAAAGUCAGAGUAAUGAGGUACCAGAAGGAAAUGGAUUAAAAAGUUAAGAUUAUCACUCCAGCCUUUGUCGCUAGAGUCACUUUCAGGACAGGACACAAGACUGGGUUUUCCUGGAAGCUGUCCUUACAGAGCCCCGUCUUUCCCCAUUGCUGAUCAAAUUGUUAAAUUAUCUUUUCAUUAGUGUCUCCACUACUAGAAGAUUUCAUCGUUUUACU
rnacentral:lncRNA from 1 species